AUUGAACGCUGGCGGCAGGCCUAACACAUGCAAGUCGAACGAGUGGCGGACGGGUGAGUAAUGUCUGGGAAACUGCCUGAUGGAGGGGGAUAACUACUGGAAACGGUAGCUAAUACCGCAUACCAUCGGAUGUGCCCAGAUGGGAUUAGCUAGUAGGGGGGGUAACGGCUCACCUAGGCGACGAUCCCUAGCUGGUCUGAGAGGAUGACCGGCCCCACGGGAACUGCAACACGGUCCAUCCUCCUCGGGGGGGCAGCGGUGGGGAUUUUUGCACAAUGGGGGAAGUCCUGAUGCGCCCAUCCCGCGUGUAUGAAGAAGGCCUUCGGGUUGUAAAGUCCUUUCAGCGGGGAGGCGUUACCCGCCAAAGAGGCACCGGCUAACUCCGUGCAAGCAGCCGCGGUAAUA
rnacentral:rRNA from 1 species